AACUUUCAGCAACGGAUCUCUUGGCUCUCGCAUCGAUGAAGAACGCAGCGAAAUGCGAUAAGUAAUGUGAAUUGCAGAAUUCAGUGAAUCAUCGAAUCUUUGAACGCACCUUGCGCUCCCUGGUAUUCCGGGGAGCAUGCC
rnacentral:rRNA from 1 species